UCAUUCAAAAAGGAAAAGUUCCCCUAGCCUUCUCAUUCAUUCUUUAUCCUUCUAAAAUUCAACUUUACUAUUGUUACAUGUGCCAAUACAUAGUUUAAAUUUUCUAUUUUUCAUUAUGACGAGCACAUAUGUCCUAAAAGCAACAUAUAGAAAAGUCAAAACAGCAUACAUCAUAUGUGUGCAAUUGAGCUAGAACUCCUCCAUACGACAUGGGGUCUAUAUGAGUUUCAUUGCGGAAGCUAGGAUUUUUCAAUUAUCCUGAAAUCAAGCAAUACUUCUUCAAAAAUUCUAACCCUAACGAGACGCAUGCAGCUCGAUCUAUCUCUCCAGUACAAAUUCAUCUUUCUUCACGAAGUAAGAGUUAAGCUUUUUGAUGACUUGUUGAUUGUCAGAGAGCCGGCUGUUGGCAAACACCAAGCUAGCUGAUGCAUGCAUGCAUGCCUACUUUCUUUGAUACUCUCUUUUUUGGGGCCGGCCGAUUAUAGCUUUUUUAAGCUUUUACGAAAUUUCCACUCCAACGUUUAUUUGAUAGUUCUAUCAGCAGAUCGAUUGCUAAUCCUCAGUUCUCAGAACUUGGUUUAUUAUAUACAACACAUUCUCACUUGAA